UGGGGGAUAUUGCACAAUGGGCGAAAGCCUGAUGCAGCGACGCCGCGUGGGGGAUGAAGGCUUUCGGGUUGUAAACCUCUUUCGCUAUCGAACAAGGCCCGCUUAGGGUGGGUUGAGGGUAGGUGGAGAAGAAGCGCCGGCUAACUACGUGCCAGCAGCCGCGGUAAUACGUAGGGCGCGAGCGUUGUCCGGAAUUAUUGGGCGUAAAGGGCUUGUAGGCGGCUUGUUGCGCCUGCUGUGAAAACGCGGGGCUUAACUUCGCGCGUGCAGUGGGUACGGGCAGGCUUGAGUGUGGUAGGGGUGACUGGAAUUCCAGGUGUAGCGGUGGAAUGCGCAGAUAUCUGAAGGAACACCGAUGGCGAAGGCAGGUCACUGGGCCAUUACUGACGCUGAGGAGCGAAAGCAUGGGUAGCGAACAGG
rnacentral:rRNA from 1 species